rnacentral:rRNA from 1 species
AGAACGAACGCUGGCGGCGUGGAUAAGACAUGCAAGUCGAACGGGAUUACUUCUAGUAGCAAUACCUGAAGUAAUUUAGUGGCGAACGGGUGCGUAACACGUGGGGAAUCUGCCGAGAAGUGGGGGAUAGCUCGUCGAAAGGCGAAUUAAUACCGCAUAUGAUCAGGGAAGACAUCUUUCCAACAUCAAAGCCGGGGCAACCUGGCGCUUCUUGAUGACCCCGCGGCCUAUCAGCUAGUUGGUGAGGUAACGGCCCACCAAGGCUAUGACGGGUAGCUGGUCUGAGAGGACGACCAGUCACACUGGAACUGAGACACGGUCCAGACACCUACGGGUGGCAGCAGUCGAGAAUCUUUCACAAUGGGGGCAACCCUGAUGGAGCGACGCCGCGUGGAGGAUAAGGUCUUCGGAUUGUAAACUCCUGUCAUGCGAGAACAAGCCGCAAGGUCUGAUAGUAUCGCAAGAGGAAGAGACGGCUAACUCUGUG